rnacentral:rRNA from 1 species
UACGUAGGGUGCGAGCGUUAAUCGGAAUACUGGGCGUAAAGCGUGCGCAGGCGGUUUUGUAAGCCAGAUGUGAAAUCCCCGGGCUUAACCUGGGAAUCGGCAUUUGGGACUGCAAGGCUUGAGUGCGGCAGAGGAGACUGGAAUUCCUGGUGUAGCAGUGGAAAUGCGUAGAUAUCAGGAGGAACACCGAUGGCGAAGGCAGGUCUCUGGGCUGACACUGACGCUCAUGCACGAAGCGUGGGAGCAA